rnacentral:lncRNA from 1 species
UUCAACUUUUCAUGUUCUGAGUUCAAAUUUCACUUGAGGUCAACUUUGUCUCUCAUCCUUUCAGGGUUGAUACAAUAAAGUACCAGUCAAGUAUUGGGGUCAAUGCAAUCAACUAGCUCCCUCCCUUUAACAUUUUUGGCCUGGUGCCUAAAUCAGAAACCAUUAUUAUUAUUAUCAUCAUCAUCAUCAUCAUCAUCAUCAUCAAAUAGGAUGGUAGGCUGGUAGAACCGUUUGAGCUUCAGAAAAAAUGCUUUGUAGUAUUUAUUCUGGCUCUUUACAUUCUGCAUUCAAAUCCUACCAAGGCCAACUUUGUUUUUCAUACUUUUGAGGUCAAUAAAAUAAAGUACCAGUCAAGUACUGGGGCAAUGGUAUCGACUAAACCAUUCCCCUCGAAAUUGUUAGCCUUGUACCAAAACUAGAAGGAAUUAUUAUUAUUAUCAUUAUUAUUAUUAUUAUUAUUAUUAUUAUUGGAUUGGCUUGCAGUACAUAUCUAGCAAUAAUAUUUGUUAAACCCUUCCAGGCCUUCCUUUACUAUAGUAAGAUUUCAUAGGAUAAGGACAUAAUUUUUUUUUAUUUAUUCUAUCAGGCUAUGGAAAAGAUAUUCUAAGUGAAAGGUGCCAAUCAUCUCUCUUAACCAAUAGUAGUUAUAUUUCUUUAUAAAUAUGAGAUUGUGCUGAAAUUGCUUUGAAAUUUAUUAUUUCCUUUUGAUUUUUAAAUUUUGUCAUUUCUGUUAGGUAAAGAAAAAUAUUUUGUAAUUUACGAUAGUUUCUUCACUUCUAAUUCACUAUUUUGUGGGAUGUAAUGGCCACAUUUAUCAUUGUGUGAAUAGCCAUUGAAAUAAACACGCACACAUGUAAAGUUUAACUUUAAUCUGUUUAUAGACAAGCUGAUCCUAUUUUUUAAAAUCAACAUUACUUAAUUACAACUUGUUUGUGUUGUAGAAAUGGCAUUAUGAUGAGAUUUUAUUAAAUAUAUUUACACUACCUUUUAGCAAAUACUCAUAGUAGUCUGUUUACAUUUCACAUAUAAAUAAUAUUUAUCUUGUCUUUUCAAAUGUAUAUACUUGUUGAUCUUUAAAUCUUCUGGCAUCUUUUCUUUCAAAAAAAUACAGUUUUAUAAUUUUAACUAUUCAAAAAUAUUUUCUAAAAUUUCUUUGUAGUAUAAAUUAAGAUAAAUUUACUUCACCAAAAAUAAAACAAAGAUGUAAGCAAAUAUUAGUAUGUAUACAAUUCAUAUAGUUAGGUUUUUAUUCAUAUAGUUAGUAUUUUAUUAAUUCACACAUAAACAUGUGUGAAUACAUACAUAUGUGUGUGUAUACAUGUGUAAGGUUUGAUUUCAGUAUUGCUUUAAAAACAAUUAUAUCUUUCUUCCCUCCUACAUGUAUAGAGAGAUAGAUAGAAUGAUUAAUUGAUCAAUAGUUAUACACAUUAUGCUAGCAAUGAACUGGAGGAAUGAGUUCUCAAUACUGUUUAGGGGAAUAAAUAAUUAUAUUUAAACAGAAUUCAACAACCCAUUCCAUAGAUUUCAUGUGAACAUAUUCACAAUUAUUCAGUCAGAGUUUAGAUUGGUGACUUUUGAUUGUUAAAGUACUAGAGUUGCUAUCAAACCCUGAUUGAUUAUCUGCAAAUAUAUUUGCACAAAACCUAUGGUAUUGGACAACUGAAUUCUAUUGAAAUAUAAUUGUAUAAUAUACAUAUCAUAAUAAUGGAAUUAUAUAUGUAUAUAUCAUUACAAUUGAAAGAAAGGUGCAUUUGUUUUAAAAGUAAUUUUGAAUUCAAACCUUUACAGCAAAUUUCAAAUUCUUCAUGAUUUACAAGAAGUGAAAGUAUAUUUAUUAUAUAUGGAUGAAGAACAAAGAAAUUUGUAAUUACCAAUUAUGAAAUAUAUGUAGCUUCUGAUUUCACAUAGCAAGUUUUAAAAUAUAACUCUUCUCUAAUAUAAAUCACUUUAUUUAAAAGCCUUGUGUAUUUGUUAGUUGUUUCCCUCUCACCUCAUUACCAAUUGCAGAAAGAAUUUGGCUUUAGAUAAAAUAUAGAUAUAGCAGUAUAGAAAUAGAGACUCCCUGCCAGUUUGACACUGAAUAUUAGCUCUGCUUUCAAACACCGUAAAGUAAGAUUGAGUAGCUUAACUAUAAUUUCUGUAUCCCAGUUUAUCAUAUCUGUAGAUAUUAUCACGCUUAUAGAUAAUAAAUAUAUACCAGCCCAUCCUAAGAAAGACAUUUAGAAAGAUAGUUUACAAAUAUAAUAACAUUUGUUGUCAUAAGUUGUACAGCUAGGGCGAAUCAUCAGUUCAAUUAAAAAGUUUAAAGAAAUAUGAAAAGAAUAUAAAAUGCAAUAUGCUGACAUAUACUAAUUAUAAGCAUUAAUAUUAUUGUUAUUAGUUACACAUUAAUAACAAUAAAAGUUACAUGUUGGUUGUAGUGGUGACAACAAAACUAAUAGCCAAGCAUAUAUAUGUUUGUGUGCGUGUGUGUGCUAAAAAUGUCUCACUUCUACAAAGCUGUGUUGUUAGUGACAUGGGUGAUUUUCCUUGGCCAACCCUGAUAAUGUUGGGUUGAAGGGAUUAGUUUAUGAUCUCCUAAUCUCUACUGUAUCAUUUGUAGAUAAAUGAGCCUAUAAACAUUAUCAUUAUCAUCAUCAUUUUAAUGUUAACUUGCAUACAAAACUAUUGACAGUUUUCUACAGCUAGAUGAUCUUCCUGACACCAAUUCUCACCUGUUUCCAAGCAAAAUUAUAAUCCCCCGUCUAUUGAACAACAAGCAUUUAAGCAUUAUGUUUUUGGGGGUUUUUUUUUUGUAGAGAAUUGUAAACAAACAACACUUUUUGCAUAAACAGUGAGGCCUUUGUUUACAAUCAGUGCCCAACAAGUCAAAACAGGCCAACAAGUCUGGAAAUACUUUCAUACAGUGGAUUGCAAAAAAAUGACACUGUCUGCAUGAAUGAUGAGGCUUUUGUUUCCAAUUAGUGCACACCCAUGUAAAAAUGAGGGGAAUUACGAACUUAUUCACACAUACACACACAUAUAGCCAUAUAUAUUACAGGUUUCUUUCAGUUUUCAUCUACAAAUUUCACACUCAAGAUAUUGGUCAAUCUGUGGCUUUAGUGGAGGACACCAACCAUGAGUGCUUAUUUAGUGGGACAGAACUUCUAAUCAUGUGGUUCCGAAAUGAAUUUCUUAGCCACAAAGUCAUACCUAUGCUUAUCAAUUAAUAUUGAAUUCUGGGUAGUAAGAUCUUAAUUGGAAUGAGCCAUAAGAUAGAUGGAAGUAAUUAGCAUGAGAGGGAGAGAGAGAGAGAGAGACCUUAGUUGUGUUCAGGAAAAAUAAAUUGUAAGCAUAGGAUUAAGUUAAUUCACUGCAAUUUAGAUAAACAAAUUUUAGUUUGUUUACGAUUUAGAUGGAGCAAAGGAUUAACUUACAACUGGUUUUCUAGCAUAAGGUUUUGUGCAUUAAGUUAGGAGGGUGAGAGAGAAUGAUAGGGACAAUUGAAUUAAGAUAGCCAGGUGCACUAUGGUAAGAAAGGGAGAAGCUAGAGUUAGAAUAUAAAGUAUUAUUUCUCAAUUAACUAAACCUUAGAAUAAAAUAAGCACCAAAAAGAGGACAAUAACUAAAUCCACAGAUGUUGUCAGCUUUAUAUGAAACUGUUGACUAAUACAUUUCUUAAACACUCUAUUCUAUAGAACUUUGUCUCAAGCUAUUUAUCAAUUUUCAAUUUGUUAUUCUGAAAGCUAUUCAGUAAUAGUUUAUAUUUUUGUUUUAUUUUUGGUAUAGUAUUUGGCAUAAAAGUGCAUCUUUUUUUUUUUCUUGUUUUUAUGGAAGUUUCCAUCUUUUUUUUUUUUAGUCAUUGAAAAUAAAUCAGGAUUGCAGAAGAGCUUAGAAAAAAAAAUUAGAUAUUUCAAAACUUCCUCAAUCACAUUAUUUGGACAAAACAAAAAAAAAAUAGCUAUCUGAUUAGAGAACUUUGACAUUUUUAUGCCAUUAAUUUUUGUUCUCUCAGACACAUAUGGUCUACCAUUUAUGAUGUUGGCCUGAUGAGUAUGAUGAUAAUAACAAUAAUUACUAAAGGUAUUAAUUAAUACUAGGAUAAUAAUAGUUUUAUCAAAAAUAGACAAUAAUGAAAAACUUAGAUGAUGAUAAUAAUAAUAAUAAUUAUUAUUAUUAUUAUUAUUAUUAUUAUUAUUAUUAUUAUUAUUAUUAUAGUAAUAAUAGUGGUGAUGAAUAAUAGAUGGAGAGGUAGAUAAAUUAGCUGAAGUUUGUUGUUCAUUUCAUAAGCAAAAUAAUAUUAUAGGAAGAAAAGUAGUUUUGUAACUCUUAUUUGAACUAUGUUUUAAACUCAUUUACAGAAUUGGCAUUAACAGUAGUCAGUAAUUUAAAACAUUAAUUUGUCUUUUGUAACAAAAAAAAUGACUCGCCAAUAUUCAUGUAGAAAUAGUUGACAUAUUAACAAAAUUUUAGUCUCAGCAUAUAACAACUUCAAAAUAUUCUUUAUUAUAAUAUAUAUAUAUUUCUAAUAGUGACCUUAAUAUAAUGUUGUAAAGAAAAAAAUGCAUCAAUUUACAAAAUGUCAAAUUUUAUGAUUUACAGAAUUUUUACUAUUCAAUUAAUAUUUGAUUUUUUUAUUAAAUAUAGUAAAAAAUAUUCUUCUUUUUUAUUCAAAUAGACCAUAGACAUAGAAAAAAAAAUUGUAUUAGCUAUCUUCCAUUUCAAAAUAUGACAGCAUGGUGGGAAUAAUAUAUUUUGAAUUUUUGAUCAAAAUUGGGGUUUAAAUCCCUGACCAUAGCUGGUAUACAUUUACUCAAAUAUUUGAGUUCUAUUUUUCCUGUUUGCAUCAUCAUACCUGUAUGUAUAAAUAUAUAUAUAUAUAUAUAUAUUCUAUGCUAUUGAUCUAUAAAUAUAUGGUAUGAAUUUUCUUAACUCUUAGGAGAUGACUGGGCUGGUUUAUCAGCCUACCAGUUUUGUGCUAGAAAGAUAAAAGGGUCAGUUUUUUUCCAGAAAAUAUAUGUAUUUGUCUCUUGCAAUUCAGAAAUUUUUACAAAAUUUUAAAUAACACCUUUAUUCUUUUUGUAUCUCAUAAAAGUGGUUUUGUCAUCUCUACUGUAGAAGCAUCAUCUGUAAGCUUCAUCUUCAAAGGUUUACACUAUAGCACUAAAUCACUGAUCUAGUCCAUGAGAUAGUACAUACACAUUAGCUAGCAAAUUAUUAUCAUCAUUAUUAUUAUUAUUAUUAUUACAAUUAUUAUUACUACUACUACUACAACAACUACUACUACUACUAUUAUUACUGUUGUGGUAUUGAAAACUGAGGCUUUGGAUUCACUUUUGCUAUAUUUUUGGCAAUGACAUCUGUUAAUUCUCUCCAUGCCUUCCUUUAACUCAGUCAGAGUUUAGAGAGUAAAAUGCAGGAAUUAUUCUGUUGGUAUAUUUAGUCAUUAAAAAUGUUGGAUGUCAGUCAUCUCAACUAACUAUAUAUGAGGUGACAAAGGUAGAUUGAUAAGUUCAUAGCAAAUGACAUGUCAUCUGUAACUGAAGUAAAUUCUCUUAUCUCCAUGCUAUCUACCUUGGUUUUUAUAUUUUGUUUAUAUCCAUAAUUUAAGUUUAACAGGACACCUUGAAGUCAUUAUCAGCUGUUGCAUUUUUGAAUACAGUCUAAAUAUAUGAAUCUCAUUUAAUGUCUUAGAUCUCUAAAUUCAAAUCCUAAUAGGUGUCAUUUGUCUUUCAUACCUCCAAAAUGAAUUCAAUUGACUGUAGACUCUUGGCUUAUAAAAAUUAAAAUUAUGUAUAGCCAAAACAGCUUUUUUAUUAGAAAAUCAAGCUCAGAAUGUAAUAUAGUUUUUUUCUUUUUCUAUCAGGGAAAUCCUAUAAAGUACAUCCUGUACUAGCUUAAAACAAAGUUAACUUUUUAACCAACCUGUGCACAUCAUCUUCUAUUCAUAAAGCAUUUAUGACAAAAGAUAUGAAUAGUCUGUAAUGAUAAGUUAUACAUGCAUACAUCUAUGCAUUUGUAUAUUUUUGUAUGUAAGCAAAACUAAGAACUAAAUUCUGAUAUCGACAAUGUUAUUUAAUGAAUUACCUUGUCUUCAAGCCAAUUAAAUUUUGAUAAAAUGCUUAUUUUGUUCAUUGCUGCUCAUUGGCUACAUCUUUUGGACUGGGGGGUUAUUUUGUUUUGUGUUUUGUGUUUUUGUCUGGGAAACAUUUUUACUCAUUAAGGACCAUCUACUACAUAUCUAAAGCUUUGCUUUGUAGUUAAAUAAGGUCAGCCAUUUGUUUAACUUUAGGUUUAUGAAAUCACCUAAGUUUAUUUUACCUAAAAUAUCUUUUUAUCAAUGCCCAUUGAACAUUCAGAAAUUCUUUCAUAUUAUUAAUAUGCUUUAUUCUUUCUACUGAUACAUCAUAUAGAAUUAUACUACUAAAAAUCCAUAUUAAUGAAAUUAAUUAUUACCUAGCUCUAAAUGUUUUUAAUAUUUCUUAAUUAUUACAGUUAUGAGUGUUCAGAUGGCUAAAUGAAUAAAUGAAAUAGACAACCAACUUUACAACCUGUCAUAAUCAUUAUACCAUGUUGGUCGCUGGGACACUUAACUCUAAAAUGGCUGAAUCUCACCUAACUGUAACUAGGUACUGCAGAGUAGGGUCAGCUUGCUACUAAUCAGCAACAGCAUUAUAAUAUUGAGCAGUCUUUUGUUUACUCUAAGUUCCAUUUUUCCUCGUAAAUAGAUAAAGGAGAAUAACAAUGUAAAAAGGAGCUUUUACUGAUGCCCCACAAACAGCAGAAUUAACAGGAUAUCUGAUAAUGAUUGCAGUUAUACAAAUAUUAGCAAAAGUUUGAGUUGCAAAAGAAAAACCCUCAAUACUUUCAUAGGAUGUUAAUUGUUUAUACAUAACUUGACAUUCAGCAGAAAGAUUUAAAUGUUUAAAUAGAUACAUAAAAAAUACUUUGAUUUAUGAGUGUGAUAUAUGUAUUAAGAUUACUUAUUGAAAGAAUGAUUUAUCUAAUAAUUAAGUAAUCUGUACUAAUUCAUAUAACUAAAUAUACUUGCCAUCUCAUUAUUUUUUUCAUUGGAAAUUUUUUUGCUAUUUGUAUUUUUCUAAUAAUAUUUUAUAAAAGUAAAAUUAGAGAUGAAAUAUAAGUACUGGGUUUCUCUAGUUAUAUCUUGCAACAUAUUCUGAAUAAAACUGGCCUUUAUCUGGCUAUUAAAGGGUUGGAAUCAACUUCAUUUUUAAAUUAAUUCAAUCUUUCAGAAAUUUAAACAAGUUUAUUAAAUCAUAUUUACCUUGAUACCUUGAACAUCCAUUGAAUUCUUGAAAAUUCAGUUACUUUUAAUAUGGAUAUAAUAUAUAUAUAUAUAUAUAUGUAUGCAUAUGCAUAGAGUAUUUGAAGUGGUGUACAGAUAUUGUAUAUUGAGAAAGAGGAGGUAGUCAGACUUUUUGAUAAUUCUUUAUUAGUGCUUGUAUUUGUUUAACUUAACUCUUCAAGACAAAAAUGAAUCAUUUUGGUUUUAAUUUUCGUCUUGAAGAGUUCGGUUAAAUGAAUGGAAGUGCUAAUAAAGAAUUAUCCAAAAUUCUAACUGCCUCCUUUUUCUCUGGAUAUAUAUAUACUUAGCAAAAUCUUUCCCGGAGAAAACACUUAAAAACAAUUCAAAUUAUAUAUAUAAUUUGAACUGUUUUUAAAUGUUUUUCUCUGGGGAAGAUUUUGCUAAGUAAGGACAAAACUAACAACAGUUGUGCAGCAGAAUUUAUCUACUACAAACUGAGAUCCCAACUCCAACCAGCAUGUCUCUUUAAAGUCAGAAAUGGUGAUAAACAUCUUCACACAUGUAAUUCCUAAUUCAGAACAAGGCCUGAUCUUUUUUCAUAAUUUGUAAAGUUUUUUUCUUAUUUUGUAUCAUUUAUGUAUCAUGUUACUUUUUUUCCUCCUCUUAUUAUUUUCUAUUUGGUUGAAUACCUUAUGUUUUCAUUUUCUUUUUGGAUCAAUGUAAAGUAUAUGAUGAAGGUUUGAAUCCAGGUAAAACUUAGCAUUAUAUUACAUUUAUGGAAAUAUCCCUUUCUCUACCAUAUAUAUUAAUUUUCAAUAUAAAGCAAUGGAUGAACAUUUAAAUCUAGAGAAAGUAUUCUAUACUCUACAUAAAUAUUCUAUAUUCUGACUAUUCUCUGUUCUUGCCUGUUAGUCAGAUAGGAAUCCUGUCUACAUGGUUGAAUCUAUUGCACUACAGAUUAUGAAUUCAUCCUUACCGAGUAAAACCUCACCAAGUUUAAUGAACUCUUCAGGUGAAAACAUUUAAAUGUAACUGAACAUUUCCAGCUUAGUGGACAAAAAUAUCUCUAUUCACUCUUCUAUUUCAUUACAGUUUUUCCUGUAGACCUAUUGUUUAUAUAAAGCUCCAAAGAACUUAAUUUAUCUUAAACAUACCCUUAACAUAAAUAUAAUUGUCCAUGAUCUGUAGCUGUAAUGAUGAGUUAUAAAGAUAUAAAAAUGUAUACCUGUAGAUGAUGGGGAAAAGAAGUAACAAUUAGAAUACUUAACUUUAACUAGAUUUGAGUCCUUGCCAAUGUUUUACAUUGAAAAUGAAUACAUGGUUGGAUAAUCCUUUUUUUUUUUCAUAAAUACAGUGUAGAAUGCUAACUGUAACUGGAUUUGAACCUUCACCAUUGAACAAAAAUACUUAUCUCAACUACCAUUGGAAGAUUGGAGAAACAAAAUAACAUGUCACAUAAAUGAUGCAAAUAUAUAUAUAUUAAAGUAUUAAUUUCAAAAAACAAGUUUCAAAGUCAAUAAUACUCCUCAUCAAAGCCAACACAUAUCUAAACACAGAGGGCAUAUAUAAGCAGUAUAAGCAUGCAAACACAUAACAUACAAAAACAUAUAUAUACAUAUAAUAGUACAAUUCCAUACCCAAAUCAAAGUCAGGUAAGUCAUUGCAUAAAUAUAUACAGAUAAAUACAUAAUUUAUCUGUAUGUAUUUAUGCAAUUACUUAUCUGACUUUGAUUUGGGUACAGAAUUACACUAUUAUAUGUAUAUAUAUAUGUUUUUUUUGUCAUGUGUUUGCUUACUUAUAAUGGCUUAUAUAUGCCUUCUGUGUUUAGAUAUGUGUCGGCUUUGAUGAGGAGUAUUAUUGACCUUGGAACUCGUUUCUUUCAAAUUAAUACUUUAAUCUAAUCACUCAAUAAAUUCAGCCCUACAUUGUUUCUUGAAAAGAGUUAACCUCUAUAAUUUUUCAUUACCUAUAUAUAUAUGCAUGUUCCCCAGAUAGCAUCCUGGUGAAAAGAGUAAUCCAUUAAGGGUCAAAACCCUAAAAGAUUUAUUUUCCUAGCAGAUUUCACUUUUCACCUUCAUUUUACUGAAGACUCACCAUCUCCAUCUCAAUAGGCCAAAAUCUAGUUAGUUGAAUAUGAGUAGGUGAUAAAUUUCAAAAAUAUGCACUCCGUAUACAUAACACUGUUGUUGACUUUGUGACCAAUGCCAGAAUAAGCAACUUUUAAAGAAUCAAGUAUUACUGAAUAUUUAUGUUUACUCAUCUACAUUAGAAUCAUGUUUAGCAACUCUGACAACUAAAUAUACUAACAGAAUUAUUAAAUUUGUAUGUUUAGCUACUUAAAAACACAAAAAACAAGUACACAUUGACUAAUUCAAAUAUUUAUUUUCAAAUCAAGAUUUUAUUUAAUUUUUACAUCUAGCUUACAUUCAACUUGUUUGUAAGUUUUUAACCAUUUAAGUGUUAUAAUGGAAGAGGUAAAUUCAGAUUGCUACCAUUAAUCUUUUAAUCUGUUUUGUAAAUUAUUAACAGCAGUUGAAACCUGAUGAAUUCUAAGUAAUCUCCUUCCUUCUUCCCACUUACUGUUUUAUACUAACCUAGGUUUUUUUAUUUUGUUUUUGUUUUUUUUUAUGAUAUAUUUAUUAAUGUCAAUAUUUGACUUUAUACUGUAAUUUUGUGUAUUUGCUAUAAUCAUGUGAAACUCAAGGGUCAUUAUAUACAGGCAGUCGCUAUUUAUUUGAGCAUACC